GACGAACGCUGGCGGCGUGCUUAACACAUGCAAGUCGAACGGAAAGGCCUGCAGCUUGCUGCGGGUACUCGAGUGGCGAACGGGUGAGUAACACGUGGGUGAUCUGCCUUGCACUUCGGGAUAAGCUUGGGAAACUGGGUCUAAUACCGGCUAGGACAGCUGUUUAGUGUCAGUUGUGGAAAGUUUUUUCGGUGCAAGAUGAGCUCGCGGCCUAUCAGCUUGUUGGUGGGGUAAUGGCCUACCAAGGCGUCGACGGGUAGCCGGCCUGAGAGGGUGUACGGCCACAUUGGGACUGAGAUACGGCCCAGACUCCUACGGGAGGCAGCAGUGGGGAAUAUUGCACAAUGGGCGGAAGCCUGAUGCAGCGACGCCGCGUGGGGGAUGAAGGCCUUCGGGUUGUAAACUCCUUUCGACAGGGACGAAGCUUUUGUGACGGUACCUGUAUAAGAAGCACCGGCUAACUACGUG
rnacentral:rRNA from 1 species